AUACAUAGAAACUCUGGCUUUGCUCAAAGUCAGUGACAUGUCCUUAGUAAAGGUUGUGUGUGUGUUGGAGCGACAGUGUGUGUAGUAUGUAGGGCUCUGUGAGGUGUGUGUGUUGGAGCGACAGUGUGUGUAGUGUGCAGGGCUCUGUGAGGUGUGUGUGUUGGAGCGACAGUGUGUGUAGUGUGUAGGGCUCUGUGAGGUGUGUGUGUUGGAGUGACAGUGUGUGUAGUGUGUAGGGCUCUGUGAGGUGUGUGUGUUGGAGUGACAGUGUGUGUAGUGUGUAGGGCUCUGUGAGGUGUGUGUGUUGGAGCGACAGUGUGUGUAGUGUGUAGGGCUCUGUGAGGUGUGUGUGUUGGAGCGACAGUGUGUGUAGUGUGUAGGGCUCUGUGAGGUGUGUGUGUUGGAGCGACAGUGUGUGUAGUGUGCAGGGCUCUGUGAGGUGUGUGUGUUGGAGCGACAGUGUGUGUAGUGUGUAGGGCUCUGUGAGGUGUGUGUGUUGGAGCGACAGUGUGUGUAGUGUGUAGGGCUCUGUGAGGUGUGUGUGUUGGAGCGACAGUGUGUGUAGUGUGUAGGGCUCUGUGAGGUGUGUGUGUUGGAGCGACAGUGUGUGUAGUGUGUAGGGCUCUGUGAGGCUGCUUAGAGACAGUACAAAAAUAAGAACAAAGGACAACAUAGAUAGUCUGUGUAGCCACUGUGUUAGCUAUUUGGCAGUCUGAUGGCAUGAGGGCAGAAGAAUGCUGGGCAGAUGCUGGAUACUGCAGUAGUCCCUGGACAAGACAUGCACUGACUACACUACUUAAUAUUGGCAUCUGCCAAGUCACUCGAGAAGUCACUCAUAAAAUGUCAUUUAUGUAUGGGGAAUAGGACAGUUUAGUACCCAAAGGUCCCAAUACACGGGGCAAUAACAUGCAUUUAGA